rfam:Camelus ferus unplaced genomic scaffold scaffold1118, whole genome shotgun sequence.
GAAGGUAUAGCUCAGUGGUAGAGCACAUGCUUAGCAUGAACACGGUCCUGGGUUCACUCCCCAGUACCUCCA